GCCUUCAUGGUGUAAAGGUAGCACACUCGGCUUAUGUUCGAGAGGUCCGGGUUCGAGUUCCGGCCAGAGUA
rnacentral:tRNA from 1 species